UAGAUAAAAAAUUUUAAAAACGCGUCAAUCAUCUAUAUUAAAUUAAUUGUGACAUUGUCGCGCCAUCUAGCAGGAAAUAUUCAGAUUAAGUGGUGCUUGGUGGUGCUUUUGACAUCUAAAACCGAACGGUUGUAUUUCUUAAAAUUAUCAAAUUUUAUUUAAAAAAAAGUAUAGUGGAACUAUAAAUCCCAUCAAAAUGUGAUUUUGAACACCCAAACUGUUUAUUUAUAGUGAUUAUAGGAUGUAGGGUGAGAUUUUCCCCCCUCAAAUAAUCAAAGAAGUUUUUUCGAAAUUUGGUGUUGUUUAUUAAAACAAAAAGAUCAAAAUCGCGCCAUCUAGCGAUAAAAAUCAGUACUAAGGUGCACUUUGACAAUUAAAACCGAACGAUUCUUAAAAUUAAGCAAUUUUAUUAAAAAAAAAAGUAAUGGAACUAAGAAAGUAAUCAAAAUGUAUUUAAAACAUAUUUAAAGCGAUUAUGAAUUGCGUGCGGAGGUUUUUUCCCUUUAAAUUAAAAUGAAGUUUUUUCAAAAACAUAAUUUUAAAAAAAUUUUUUAAAAUAACUUUUUCCACGUGGAAGUUUCGUUUGCCACAUUUGCUGUAACUU